UCACUCUAUUGAAUAUUGAUCAUACCCAACUUUCCAAUUACACAUUUACACUCAUAAAAGUAACCCAGUUUCCCGAUCUCUCUCUCUAGUCUCUAGCUCAUCUCUAUUCAUACCCAACUUUCCAAUCUCUCUCCAAAUCUCAUCUUAUUUUACCACCAACAAAUCUUAUCUUAUUCAUACUCAAUUUAUAACAUCUUUAUUUCGGUAUAUUUUCCUCUUUUUUAUAUUGAUUCUCCUCCUCAUCUCUCUAUAUUUUGGGGUUUGUGAAAGGUGAUUUCGGGGAGUUUUAUAAUUGAUGGUGGUGAUCGACGAAGUUGGAAAGACCAUUGGUGGUUUAUGUGUUAGUUGACGGCGGCGAUGGAGGUGGUAUCAUAAAAGUUGUUCUUUUCCUGGUAUAUAUCUUUUGAAGAUGACAGGUUGUAGAUAACGGGUGGGAGACUCUGCAUAGAAUGAUCAGGAGUAGAGGAAGAAGGGAGAAGAGGAAGAAGGGUGAAGGAAACUGCCGAAAUUGUAACUUCUAAUGGAGUGGGUUAGUUUUUUUUAGGAAGGAGGGGGUGGAAACUGCCGUUUUUAUUUUUUUUUAAUGAUUUUAUUUUGUUUUGUUUUUUUUAAUUAAUUUGUUGUAAUUUUAAUUUAGGAAGGGUAAAAUGGGGCUUUCAUUAUUUUGGUGUCCCCCCUCUCUUCCCAUAUAGAAUAGAGAUGCAAACUGUGUUUAAAAGUAAAGUGGUCUAUAAUAAUUUUAUUAUGCA